rnacentral:rRNA from 1 species
UACGUAGGGUGCAAGCGUUGUCCGGAAUUAUUGGGCGUAAAGGGCUCGUAGGCGGUCUGUCACGUCGGGAGUGAAAACUCAGGGCUUAACCCUGAGCCUGCUUCCGAUACGGGCAGACUAGAGGUAUGCAGGGGAGAACGGAAUUCCUGGUGUAGCGGUGAAAUGCGCAGAUAUCAGGAGGAACACCGGUGGCGAAGGCGGUUCUCUGGGCAUUACCUGACGCUGAGGCGCGAAAGCGUGGGGAGCGAACAGG